rnacentral:lncRNA from 1 species
UCCACUACUCUCUCCUAUGCUACAUAUAUCAUUUCCAUUCACCUUCCACAAUCAUCUCUUAUCAUUCACCACCACCACCAUCUUCAACUAUCAUCCUUAAUUACUAUCCACUACUCUCUCGUAAAAUUAUUAUAAUUAAAUAAAUUAUAAUUUUAGAAAUAUUUGAGUUAUUUUAAAAUUAUUAAAUUUUAAUAUAGUUUUUUUGUGUAUUUUAUCUUUAAUUAUGUUCAUGUGUAAAUAUUUUUUUUAUGUUUGAUGGAUUGAUGACGAAGUUCAAAUAAAUAAAAAAAUAACAAAUUGAAAUUCAAUUCAUAAUUAAAAUUAAAAAUUCAAAACAAAAACUGAAUUUUGUUUUUGAAAACUUCAAAACAUAAAAUCAAAAAUCACCCCAAAUGAGAUUUUGAAUAUCAUUUUGGUUACUCUCUUCAUCUCAUAAUAAUUGUCGCAUUUGGCAGAAAAAUUUGUUCUGAAAUAAUUGUCACUUUUAAUUUCUAAUGCAACUUUAAUUUUUUUUUAUUAAUUAUACUCUCUAAUUAAUAUUAUGUGUACUCUAUUAAUUUAUGCAUUUAUGAUAAUUGAAACCAACCAAUUAUUUAUAAGGAAUAGUUUGGCAAAAUUAUAGAGUAAUGAAAAGGUCAAUAGUUCAACACUCCUACGCUCUUCAAACACUACAUCUGAUCCUCACAUUCAUUGGCUUUGAGUGCCUCAGAAAAAUUAUUUUCCAUCACCAUAAAGCCUAAAGUCUCUAACAUAUGGAAACACAUGAAGAAGAAAACAAAGUUCGAUGAUGAAAAUGUUGUUCCAAUACCAACCAACUCGCAUGUCACCAAGAACAUAAAUAUUGGAGUUACUCGCUUAGUGGUCAUAACUCAAAAUAUUGCAAUUUUUUUAAUUUUUGGAUUUUUAAUUUACUUCAUUAAACAAUUCAUAUAUAUAUAUGUAAAGAUUAAAUAUAUUUUUAGUUCUUAUAAAUAUAUUUCUAGAAUAUUUUCUUUAAACAAUAAUCUUCAUAUAAUUUUUUUCCAGCAAAAUUGAUCCUCGUUGUUAAAUUUAUUAAGGGUUAAAGCCAUGACAUUUAAAACAUCCAUGUGCAUAUCCGUUUACCGAAUUUAACAUUAUUGAAGACCAAUUUUACUGAUAGAAAAUAAAUAAACAAUUAUUUGAGGAGAAAAAGUUAGAUGGAUUAAAUAAAUAAAAAUUGGUUAGAUGGAUUAAAUAUAUAUAUAUAGAGGACGCAAAUUCGAUGAAAACCGAUAGUUAAUUGAUGUUUCAGACUUUACAAAUUGUUUGUUUUUAUUCCAAUGUUUAGUGACAUGUAUAUCUUUCAAUUCUACGAGUCUAUUUGUUAUAGUUUUUUAAUUAAGUCAAAAAAAAGUUUUAGUUUUUCAAUAAAAUAUUUUUUAUUUUAAAUUAUAAUUACUUUUUAAAGUUAUCCAUUUGUUACAAAGAAUUAGAAGAACAAAAACUAAAAACCGGAUAAAUGAGAAAUCGUUUUGAUUAAUUAAUUUUUCGUAAAAAUAACUUUCCUUAUUGUAAAUAAACAUAAAUUAGAUUUUUCCUCUUUUUUCACAAGAUUCAGUUUUUCUUAAAAAAUCUCUAAAAAUUAAUUUCUAAAUUAUUCAAAAUUAAAAUCAAUUUUUUAAAAUCCAUAUCAAACAGUCCUAUAUAUGAACUCUAGUAUUGAAUUUUUCUUUUAUAAUCAUACAGAGAGUAUUUAAUUUUCCUAUGGAUUGUUUAGCAAUUUUCUAUGCUUUUUUACAAAUGAGUUAUUAGCACAUUUUUGUGUAAGAAUAUGCACUUUCCAUUCAAGUCAAAUAGACUUUUUAAAUAUUUUUGGUCUCCUUGUUUUUAAUUGAAACGGAUUUUCAGUUUCCUUGUAUAUAAAAUCAGGACUUUAGUUCUUUAACUUUACAAGUUUUAUAUAUGAGUACAUUUAUCCAAGUUGGGACUUGUUUGCUUAUGAUAUGUCAUUUUUAUUAAUGAUGUUCAAGUAUAUAUAUUUGAUUGUAAUAUUAUUAACCUGGAUCACAAAGAAUGGGCUGAAAAUCAUGUUACAACAUUUUUGUUCAGUUUCAUUGAUUUACUAUAAAUAUUUUUUUUCUAAUUCACCGUUUUCUGUUUUGAUAUGUCGUUAAUUUUAAUUCCACAUUAUUAAGUAAUAUAACACAUUAAAUUAAACUUCAAAUUAGAUAGUGGAAAAAAUCCCAAAACUCGGGAAAUAUAUAAAUUAUUAAAUUUUUAUAUUCGAAAAUAAAGGAACUAAAUUCUAUUUUCACUUAAAAUAAUGAAUCAAAAAGUGUAUUUUAAGUAAUUUUUUUUUUAUAAUUAGACAAUAUUAUUGAAAAUAAUGGAGGAAUACAUUCAGAUUGUAUGCAAUUCUGUAAUCUGAAUUUUGGAGGUUGUCCCAUUAAGAUAAGACAGUUUAAAUUAAAUUUAAAAAUAGUCUUAAAAUUUAAAAAGAUAGGAAAUGGAUCGAGUGGAUUGAUGAGUAAAAAUUAAUGCCAUUUUAAAAUCACUUUUAUACGCGCGAUUGGUCAAACACAUAUCUAGCAUAAUAUGUAGGCAUAGCUGAAAAAGGAUAAUGUCUAGGUGAUAAGAUCAUAUUUAAGUUGUUUCUUUUAUAAUUAGAGAGUGACUUACACAAACGUGUUGGGACAAAAAUAAUAAUAAUUUUGGUAAGGCUUUAAGAUGUUAUUUUUAAGGGAUGGUCUUGCUAGUAUCAUAUGUUCGAAUUAAUAAAUAGUUUGUAUUUUAAAUGAUUUGAUGAUUCUAUCAUAUCCUAGUUUGGGUUUAAAAAUUUACACCCAUUUUUUGAAGAAGAUUUAGCAUCAAUUUAGGGACAUCACAAAUAUUUAACUACUAAUUUUUAAAUCAAUAAUCUUGGGUAUUCAACACAUGCUAAGGAUUAAAUAUAAUUGAUUUAAUAUUGUUGAAAAAUACUAUUUUAUUUGUUUUGUUUAAGUAUGGGGUUUGAUAUCCUCAUUAGAGAUUUAUUUGAAGCUUUAUUUGGGUCUACUAUAUUAAAGAGAAAUCAAGUGAGCUGAUUUUUCUUUAGAUGCACCGGGAUCAUCUAGUGGUUACAAUUUUAGACUUUUUUUUUUUUUGUUCUUUUAGCAUUAGACUUCUAUUAAGCUAUUAUAAAGUUUGUAAUUUGUAUUAUCACAUGUUUGAAAUACAUUAAAACUAUAAAUGUUUGAAAUACAUUUAUUACAAAGUUUGUAUUAUCACAUUUAUUACUUAUAUUUUUAAGUAAUGAAAAGUUUAGUACUUUGACAAAUAUCUUAUUAUGAAAAUGUCAAAUAUUAGAACAUAAAUAUAUUUUGUAAGAAAAAAUUUCAUUGUAAGAUAAAUCUUGUUGGACUAAAAAAAUAUAUGUUCAAUUCCAAAUAAUAAUAAAAUUUCACAAUGCAAGGGGUUAAAAACGCCUACAAAAUAAUAAACUAUGUACACAGUGGAGGUUUUAAACCUCCCAAGAAAAAAAUCGCCACAAUAUAAACGUAAUACUAGAGUUCUCAAAAUUUCAACAAAUAUAUUACGACAGACGUACCUAUGAUGGUUUUGAAUAUUCCACAAUACAAUCUGUGGAGGUUAAAAAUCCUUGCAAAUUGAUUUAAAAACACUCAUAUAUUAGUGUUUUUUAUGUAGUAGUAGUGUGUAUAUAUAUAUAUAUAUAUAUAUAUAUAUGUGUGUGUGUGUGUGUGUGUUGACAUGUAAAAAUGAUAAAAAUAAAAAUAAAAUAAAAAAUUGUAUAAAAAGAAAGAAGAUAUUAAGUCAAAUUUUUCGCAAAAUACCCAAAUUCUCAAGUAUGGUCGUACCUUAUACAAUGGUGUCCUUAUUCUAAUUCAAUAUGUGAUGAUUUACUAAAAAUAGUUGAAUAUAUACUAAAAAGAAUGGACUUUUUUUAUCCUUGUUUAAUUAGAACCUUAGGAAACAAAAUUGCUUCUUUCUUAAUUUUUCUACUCUUGUUAUUCUUAGAUCUCUCAAGUUUGUGUAGAAUGACAAAAAAAUAAGAUUAUUUUCUGUAAAAUUAUCUUUUACGAACAAUUAUUUGUCUCUACUUUGAUCUAAAGAAAAUAUAUCUUUUUGAGAUAAUUGUUCAAUGGAAAUUUAUCUUACAAAAAUAUGUUAAUCGCGUCAAACAUAAUAAAAAUCAAUAUCAUUAUCUUAGUCAUAAGAUCCAAUAUAAAAUUAAUUUAUAUGUACAAAAAAAUAUAACAAAAUAAUUAAUAUCGCAUCAAAUAUAAUAUAAUUUAUUAUUAUUAUAUGAUAUUAAAAUAUUUAAAAAGUGUACAUAAAAAAAUAAUAAAUAAAUAAAAAACAGAAUUUGAACUCGAAACAAAAUAUUCAAUCUAACUAUCGAUAUUUAUCAAUUAAAUUAAUUAUUUAACAUAACAAAUUUAAACUUCACAGUAUCUAAUUUCUCAAAGACCACCGAUUACCGGAUGCAAUUAAAUCACACCACUUACCAUUACAAACAAAUUAACUAUAUUGGCGCUCAAGUUUUCUCUUUCCUUAGAGCAAUUCUCAUAUAAAAAAUAUAUAUAUGCAAAAAAGACAAACUAUAGUGUUGCUUCGCACCGUAUUUAAAAUCGUGUUAUUUCAUUACAAAGCCAUGGUCAUAUAGAAUAUAUAUAGACAUGGCAAGUUGAUCUAUGAUUAUGGGAGGGCAAGUUACCGAUUUGUUUGUUUGUAAAUAUUAGACGUCAACAACUAGAUAGACGGUAUGAUUAAAUUUGAAAAAUAAUAAAUAAGUAUCCAAAUUUAUCUGUCUUACAACACAAAUUCUCCUUAUUCAAUAAACUAUUUAUGAUAAAUCAAAAUAAUAGAACUAGCAAAAAAUAUUAUUUUAAAGACCACAUAAACAUGUAUUUGGUAGAAAAUUAAAUAGAUGAGAGAAAUUAAAAAAAAAAAAAAAAGCGAAAUAUAAUAUUUGAAUAAUCUAAUCUUAAUCUAACGACAUCAUAUUUAAUAUGUAAAUGUGUGGAUCCACUUAGAUAAGUGAAGCAAAAUAUAAUAUAGAGAGGAGAAAAAUAAAUGUACAGUAAUAUUAUAAAUUAAUGUUACAUUAUUAGAUAAUAAUGACUAUUGAUUUAAUCUUACAAUUAUAACUUUUAUCGAUUAAUAACCAUACCAUUAAUGCUUUAAGUUUUAAUUAUCGGUGUAGAAAGGUAAAGACGCAUAUCUAUUAUUAAAGUCGUAGAGAAAUAGAAAGGGAAAGAAAACGUAUAUAUAUAUAUAUAUAUAUAUGAGUGAUGUUAGUUGCUAGUGAAAUUGACUUAAAGCCCAACAUAAUAGAUUAUAGCUUUUGUCUUAACCGUAACUGCGGUCCUCCUCCCCAUAAGGCAACAAACUUGUAAAUAUGUUUAACAAAUAGAAAUUUAUUUUAUUAUUAAAAUUAAUUCAACUAAUAUUUUUAAUAAUUUGCACAAUUCAAAUGAAACAAUUAUAAUGAAACGGUUAAAAUACAUCAUAGUGAAUAUUUUAUAAUGUAUAAAUUUGUAUCACAAAAACAAGUUUUCGAAACUAAGCCUUAGUCCUUAAAAAUACACUAUUUGUUAUUCAAGAUAUACAUAAACAAAAAAUAAAAUAAAAAGUUUAUAGGAAUUGAAAACAAAAUUUACAGAAAUGGAAAACAUAUUUAACUGAAAAAAAGAGUUAAAAAAUGUAAACAUAUAUAAAUGUAUGAAGAAAUCAAUAUUUUUGUGAAACUAAGGCUCCACGCUUGAUGGUUUUGAGGGUAAACAUAAUUUUAUUUUGAUAAAAAAACCUGCCUUAGUCCCCUCUAAAUUCUAAAAAAAAUAAUUGACAUAGUGGAUAAUAAUUAGUAGACAAAUCAAGUGUUAAUUUGCAUCAUAUAUAGUUUUCCACAAACCAGUGUUUUACAUAAUGUCCGUUAGGUUAUGAAGAAUCCACAUUUAUUUCCAAAGAUAAGUCCAUAAACGUAUAUUGAAUCCACACACAUGAUGAGUUAAAUGGGUUUGAUUUGCAUAUCUAAGUCAUAUAUCCUAUUCAAUCACAAAUUCUCCCAAAACAAAAAUAGCGAAUGAAAUUAUGCUAAAGUGGUAUCUAAGUGGACCAUAGUUGAUAUAUGCCAAACCAUGUUAUUACACCAUCAACCAAUCAAACAAAGAAGUAUAUAUCUAAAAUCACAGUUGAUUAAUGAUUCAAUUAAGGAAAAAAGUUGAUUAAAUAUGAGACAUUAAUUAAGCAAUAAAAGUAGUAAUAAUAAUUUAGAGUGAUAGGAAGAUGAAGAUAAGAUGCCAGCGGAGUAACCCCUGAGUGACUGAGCACACAGCUUCGAAAUUACGAUCUGAAAUUUUGUAAUGUACACUUGUAAGGUUUGACAGCUUGCAAAUUUGGCACUAGCCUUUUUAGUGACCUAUUACAGCCCCAUCUUCACGUGACAUGCUAUCAUAAUCCCCUUUUGUUUGCAUCUCAAUUCUCAUACUCCUCCAUACUUUUUUUUUAUAGGAUCCGGCUUCAAUGUUGUUGCUAAUCAUGCAUGCACACAAUAUCGAAAUUAAAUACUUCCUAACUAAUUGUGCUAUUUUAAAUUAUAUAAUUAAAAUAAGUAGAUUUUGAACCGUCAUAGGAAAGAUGAUGUCCUGAAUGUAUGAAUGUGUAGACUUCCAUAAAUUUAAGAGUCUGCAUGUUGAAUGAGAUAAGACAUUGAGACAUCUCUCACCUGAUACCAAGUCAUCGUUGUCGAUUUUGUAAUGAUGAAUUAGACAUAAUAUAAAAUUCAAUACAAUGUCAGAGUCUAUCUGAUAUAUAUUGGUUGAUCUACUAUCGGGUAACUGGUAUCAUACUAUAUGGGUCACACUUCAUAUAUAUGUCCACGCAUAAGUGUUGAUGGACGUGUGUUAAGAAUCUCGCAUUGGAUAUAGAUUGAGUUUAGACAUAAAUUUAUAAACGUGAGACAUAGUAUUCACCUUAAUUACAAGUUGAUUUUGCAAAAAUGUAUUGACACAAUAUAAAAAUGAGUUAUAUUAUUUAGUACGAAACAAAUAUUUAAAGAAACACAAGAACAAUUAAUUGUCAAUUUAUUAAAGAUGGAUCAAAUAGUCACCUUCAUAUUUAGUGAAAAACAUAAGAGAGAAAAUAAAAAUAAAAAUAAAAAACUAAUUCCAAAAUUUCAAAUUUCUUUAUUACUUUCACUUUCUUACCAUUCAAGAUUAAUAUAAGACAUAAAUGUCCGACAAAAAUACUUAAAUUUAUCAACCAAGAAAGUCUCCAAAUCCACAAUGAAAUUUGAAGACCAAUACUUAGCAAGUAAUUAACCAAGCUAAUUAAGAUUCACCUGAUUCCUAUUUCCUAUAUAUCAUCUCACUCCUUCCCUUACAAUCUCCACUACCAUCACACUAGUCUACUAAAUCCUAGUUUCCUUUAUCAGUCUUUCUCUUUGUAACACCAACAAAGAGAGAUGGAGUCCUCAUCAACACCAAAAUUCUAUGCUUACAUAAUCAUUUGCAUGCUCUUCAUCUCUUCAGCCACACCAAUUCUUGGUUGUGGCUAUUGUGGUGGAGGAAAACCACCUAAAAAACACAAACCAGUUAAAAAACCAAUUGUGAAACCACCAGUGACAACUCCAACUCCACCCAUCACAGUCCCUCCAACUUUACCUAUUCCACCAAUUGUGAAACCACCAAUUUCAAUACCACCAAUAACAAUUCCACCAACUUUGCCUAUUCCUCCAAUUGUGAAACCACCAAUAGCAAUUCCACCAACUUUGCCUAUUCCUCCAAUUGUACCAACUUUGCCACUACCUCCAAUUGUGAAACCACCAAUAACAAUUCCACCAAGUUUACCAAUCCCUCCAAUUCCAGGACUCCCUCCAAUUCCAGGAAUCCCUCCAGUUCUUAACCCACCAAGCAAAGGAGGAAGCACACCUUCUUCUCCAAAAAGUCCUUGUCCACCAUCAACAACACCUUCAACAAACACAUGUCCAAUUAACACUUUGAAAUUAGGUGCUUGUGUUGAUUUACUAGGUGGAUUGGUUCACAUUGGUGUUGGUGACCCUGUUGUCAAUCAAUGUUGUCCUGUUCUUCAAGGACUUGUUGAACUUGAAGCUGCUGCUUGUCUUUGCACUACUCUUAAGCUUAAGCUUCUUAACCUUAACAUUUAUGUUCCACUUGCUCUUCAGCUUCUUUUGGCUUGUGGAAAAACUCCUCCUCCUGGUUACACUUGUUCUCUCUAAAAAACCAGUUAAGUUCACUCUUCUUCUAAACCCUACUUCAUGUUUUUUUAGUUGCAUUUUUAAAAAUCUUUUUUUUUAGAGAUAAAUAUAAAUAUUUCUAGUUUCUACUGUUUAUAAUAUUGCAUGCAUGUGAAUUGAUUUGAAUUAUAAGAGAUUCAUUAAACAAGUAGUAUUCAGAGACUUGAACUUUGAUCUUAUGUACGGAGAAAAUAUAUUAAAGGUCUAAAAAGUUUUUUAAUAGACAUUUAAAAAGUAUUCAAAUGUAUUAGAAAAAUGCAUGCAUGGUUAUAUGUUUAUUUUGCUUUCAUCUAUUUUGGGAAGCUUAAAAAUCCCAUGCAUCAUAAUUUAAAAAAAAAAACUAGAACAUAAAUAUUUAUUUAUAAAUAUAAGAAUAAGAAUGAUUGGAAUAUAAGCUUAAAAAGAUUGGAGAUGAAUUUGUCUAGAGCACAAGCAAAAAUAAUUGUCCGGAAACAACAACUUAAAAAAGGAAAGUAGAACAGUAAUUCAGCACAGUAAGUGUAGUUUGUCUAUGUGAUUUGAUGUGAUGUGAUGUGAUGUGAGAUAGGAAAAAGAGGGAUCCGAAUUUCUAGCGGUAGGAGCAGCAUGUACAAUUCCCGUACUUAAUUUCAACUUACACGGUUUAUAUUAUAUAUUAAUAUAAUCACUUUUUGUAAUUAUUGAUUUUUAUUCGACCAUUUAUUAUCUUUUAUAUUUCAAUCUAAUUUACUUUUACAAAACUAGUUAGUAAGGUAAGUGAUAUAUUUCGUAGACUUGUUUCAAAUUUUAUCUUUAAUUUGAAAUUUAAAUUUUUUUCAAUAUGAUUGAUAUUAAAAAUAUUUUUCUUUACAAUAGGGAAUCCAAUUUUAGAAAAGGAAAAAAAAAAGCAAGAGAACGAAUUGGAAAACAAGAUUGAGAAGUAGAAAAGUUUUAAAAAAUCGUUAAAAAAUAUUGUAAAAUUUAUUUAUUGUUAAAAUUUACUAAAAAUAAUAAAAUUCAAUUUUGAACUAAGAUCAUAUUAAACAAUUUAAUAUAUGGUUUUGAAUAAUAAACUAUAGUACUCAAUCCAGUUAGAAAAAAUUGUUUCAAAAUUGAAUUAAAUAGAUGAAAGGUAAUUAGUUAAGAUAGAAGGUGGUAUAUUUUUGCAAGAUGAGUUAUUCAAUUAUUUACGAUUAUGAAGUCGUUGUCAGGCAAAGAAAGUAGAGCACAUGGAAUUAUAUAUGGAUGCGUGAUUUAUGUUUUAUAUUUCCUAUAUAUUGUCCUUUUUUGUACCCGUGAACUUUGAAGUCUUUGUCUCAUUGCAUGUCACGGUCUAAUGUUUUGCAGGUGAAUGAAUGGAUUGAGGAAUAUAUGGUCGAAAUUGACAUGAGAGGAUGUCGAGCCAUGCAAUCUAUUUCUCUCUCUCUCUCUUGAUUGGAAUUGCUGUUGUUUGUUUGGUUUUUAAUUAUUUGUAAAACCAUUUGAUUUUAAUUGAGAUUGUUGCAUGUAUGUUUAAUCCUAGGCAAGUAAAGUUGCAGCAAACAUGCUUCUAUGUAACCUUUUAAAAUUAUUCAUUUUAUUUGUGUUUUUUAUGGUAUUAGAUUCGUAUUAUUAUGCUCUAUUAUAAAAACUCUGUGAUUUUCUGUAUCAAUUUUGUUAUAUCAAUAUUUUAAAUUUUUUUUAAAAAUAAAACAAAAUCAUUCAAAAAAAUAUAAAUUUGGAAAAAUGUAUAAAUAUAAAGGUAUAAUUUCCUAAAUUAUAUAAUCUAAUAGAAGAAGAGGAGAUAAUAAAGAAAUAUUAUUUUCUCAUAUAAGUUUAAAAAAAGAUUAAACUUUAAGAGAGAGAAAAUGAAAGCAAAGAUGUGCAUUUGCAAAUGAAAGAAGAGUUACAUGCUAAAUUUUGGAGGAUAUAUUUGCAAUUACCCAAUUUAACUUGUUAUAAUUUUAAGCUAUUAUUUAAUGACAAAAUUAGUAAGAGAAACGUGGCUGAACAUGAUUAAUUGGUCCCACCUCAUUUGAGUAAUUUAAUCCAAAAAUUUUAAAUGGGUAAAAGAAUUUACCUACUAUUAUGGUUAUUUAUAUCAUUAUUUCAAUUGGUUAUAAAUAUAUGCAAAUAUUAUUAAUAAUUUUCAUUAUUUGUAAAAAUAAUUUUAUUUAACAUCUAAAAAGUAGGUUUUUGAAAAAUAUAACUUUUUAUUAUUUUAAAAAUAUAUAAUUUACUUUUAAAAUAAAAAAUAAUUUCGACUUUAUAAUAUAUUUGUUGAUAAUGUUAAUAAAAGGGAUGGUGGCUGGAGGUUACCUCCAGUGACCAGGUGAGAGCAGUGUUGACAGGUGAUUGACCGUGGCAACUGUGGUAGGAGUGGGAUAAAAAUAGGUUAGGCCGUUCGGGCCUAUAGUUUGUUUUAUUUAUGGUAUGAUUCUCACUUAUUUAAUAAAAAUAUUAGACUCAAAAUAUUUUUAAAGUUUAUUUAUUUAAAUAGGUCAAUUUAUAAAAAAAAGCCUAUUAUGUUAGCCUAUAUAUAUUUUAUUAAUUAUUAAUGUUAUUUUUUAUUAUUAUUUAUUAAUAAUAUUAUUUCCUAUUUUAAAAUAUAUCAAUUAGACAAUUACUCGGUAUUUCAUAUUUGGUAGUCGUUCUAUAUUCGGCAGCGAUUCCAUAUUCAGUCGCGAUUCUAUAUUUGAUAAUUGUUUCAUAUUUGGUAGUCGUUCAAAUAGGCAAUCACUCAUUAGUUGUUUUAUAUUUGUUUGAGAGGUAAUAAUUGGUGCAUUUAUUUCAGAAAAAAAUUUAUUAUUUAAAACCAAAAAUUAAUUUUUAGGGUUUAAAUCGUGUUUGUUUCAGAUUUUUCUAAAAUCAUUUUUUGUUAUAUAUAUAUAUAUAUAUAUAUAUAUAUAUAUAUGUAAAAUAUAACAUUUAAAUUUAUUAAUGUUAAUGGUUUUGACUAGGCUUUCAAGUUAGACCAGACUUUUAAAAAUGUCAGGUCAUGUCUGAAAAAAAGUUUAUGAUAUGUUAUAGAUCAGGCUUAGCUCAAAAAAUUAAUUGUAGGUAGACCUUUUAAAGUCUGGUAUGGUCAGACAAUUCCCUCCCUUAGUGGCUAGUGACGAUCAAUAGUGGUGGUGUAUUUUAUUUAUUAUUUUAGUAACUAAAAAAUAAUUACAAUAAUUCUUUUAUUUUUAUAAAGAUUAUUUAUUAAUAAAAAUGGAUUGUAAUCCAUUGAAUUUUUCAUUUAUAAAAAGAAAUGAUUAAUUGAAUGUUUAGAAAAAUAUCGGAUGAAUUGGAUAUAUAGAUUAAAUUGCCACCCUUACUUAAACAUUAGAAAAGACUUAUUAAAUCCCUCACAGUAGAAAUCACCUCAAAUGACUUUUAAAAAAAUAUUUAUAAAGUUAUUUAUUAUAGUUAAUUUUAAAUUUGUUUGAUAUGCUUUGUAGAUCGAAACAAAGUUUAAAUCAACUCAACAAUAAAAACAAAUAUAAGAUAUAAAAAAUAUAAAAAUAUUAACUACAAAUAAAAUACUUUAAAUAACAUCACUUGAAAAAUUUACAUCACCGCUUUUAAAGAUAAAUUAGUAAUUAUAUGACUUACCUUUUUCUUUCUUAAUUUUUUUUUUACUUUUCUUUUCUGUACUUUUUUAAUUUGUUUGUAUUUUGUUACUUCAGAUACUUUUUCCUCUCUUCUGCACUCUCAUUUUUUAACUUCAAAUUUAAAAUUCAAAAUAUCUAUAUUCAACCUCUCAUUAUUUCUUUCUCCAUCAUUCUUUUUUCCUGUCUAUUUCUUCUCUAACUCUUUAGAAUAUUUCUUUUAGUAAAUAACAUAUCUUCUUAUGUAUGAUUAGUGUAACUUAACAAAGAAUUUGAUUUAAGUUUAUAAUAUAUUUAAUUAAUUAAAUCCAUUUUAAUUCAUUAAAUCCAUUUUAAUUCAUUAAAUCCAUUUUAAUUCAUUAAAAUUUAAAAUCAUACAACAAUUCUCUGCAAUGUAGUGCAAUAAAUAAAUAAAUAUUUACAUAAAUUAAAAUUUCAUAUAUUUAUUAUUUGUACAUAAAAUCUAAAAAUAAUAAUAUUUUUUUACAUAUUAUGAUUUUGUUAACCUGUAUCAAAUUUUAAUCGAUAAAGAUAGAACAAGUCAAUUUAAUUCAAUUUUUUUAUGAGAAAAAAACAUAACCAAUUAAUAAUAUAUGAUUUGGUUCAAGUUUUGCAAUAGUUUGUCAUAAAAUUCAAACAAAGCUAAACUUACAAAUAAUAUUUUUUUGUAAAAAUAAUAUAAUGGACAAAUGUUUCCAUGAAUUAAUAAAUUAAAAAUUAAAUAUAUAUUUUAUAGCAGUGUAUUUUUUUAAUGUCUUUUAUAUAAAAAUUUGAAAAAUAUUAUAAUACAUUAACUAUAAUUAAUUUUUUGUAUAAAUCAUAUACAGUGGACAAAUAGUUGUCACUUAUCAAUUAGUUUUUGUAUUCAAAUCAAUUAGUUAAAAGAUAAAAUAUAUUACAAACCAAAAAAGGAUAAAAUAUAUUUUAUUAAUAGUAUGCCUCUUAAAUAUCCUUAAGAUUAAAAAAAUUGAAGAAAAUUAUGAACAAUAAUUCUGAACUUGGAGGAAGAAUUAUGAUUGGUGACACUUCAUUCAGGUAAUGCCCAACUUUUUUAAAUGGAUAAAUAACAAUUUACUGAUAAUAUUUUAUAAAAAAAUUAAAGAAAAAACUUAUUAAUGAAAAUGAUAUUAAUAGUCAGUUUACAAUUGCCUGAAGAGAAUUUAAAUUUGGUAGUUUGAGAUAAUAAAAUUAAGCUCGUACCUUAAGGUAACAAGUAUUGCGAGUAGUGUUUUAAAUUGGUUGUUAUUUGAUCAUAUCAAACUUCAAUGAAGGUAGAGUUUGGCAAAAACAAAGUCACGAAGUAAGUCAGGUUUGGAUACGUGUCAUAGAAGUUGUAGGGCAAUAAUAGUUGAGGGUGCAAACGGCAAUAGCAAUAAAUGUAAUAUUGACGUCUCAAUUUUCUUUUCAGCAAAAUAAGGUUGGUUUUGCUGUUUAGCCUUGUGCAUUUGAGUAAAUGCAUUGAGCAUGGUAUUUUUGUGCUUGCAGAAACAACAUAACGGUUUUCUCCUAUGUGUUUUAGUUGAUAAAGGAGAAGCGAGUGGACUUUUAUUCGAUAUCAAGUAGGUGUUUGAUUUCAAAUUAAAAAUUUGAGUUAGAUUUAAAAAAGGUGAUAGAAAAUUUCAAUAGUUAAAUUAGAAAAAUAUCGGAUUUCGGUGUUAUUAUUCAAGAAUUUAGACUUUUCUUAUCUUUUCAUAUUACAAACUCUUGUGUUCGAAUUUAUUGGAGGACGAAUCAAUGAGAUUGGUCAUCAGUUAGUUGGGACAAACACAUCCUCAGUUACUUUCUAUAUUUAUAUAUUUAUGUGGAUAUUCUAACAUAUAUUGAGGAAUUAAUUAUUAAUGAAAUGGCUUAAUUUUGGAUUUGUAAAUAAAUAAAAAAUAACAUCAGUGGAUGGUAAUGGGGAUGGAUUCCCUUUGUCGAAAUUUUCUCAUGUGAUAUAAUCCACUCACAAGUACUUUAUCUCUUUGAUUUUUAAACCCUCUUCCACCUUUUAUUUUAGUGUGACUAAGACUCCACUUGACUCUCGAUUAAUCGGAGAGGUUUCGGUCCAGGAGGUAUCCUACCGUGACAAAUUGAUAAUUUGCAUGAUUAAGAUUGCAUGAACCCACACGGUACAGUACGAGAGUGUUUCAAUUCGACAAUGUAUAAACUACGAACUCUUUUGCUUUGAUAUAGAUCUGCGUUCAUUUUAAUCACCGACAAAACAAACAGGUGCAAUAAGCGUAGUAUUAGAGGUGUUGAAUGACAGUUGAGUGUGUAGGCAACGGUGACUGUGGUGGAGGGUGCCGGUCAUAACUUUAUACUAAAUUCGAAGGUCCCCAAAAAAUAAUUCGAGUAAAAAUGGGCAUUUCAAUCCAAGUGAUAAAAGGUAUAAAAAGAAAAAUUCAUAAACAGUAAUAGUUCAUUGUAUUUUGAUUCUCUCCUUGCAAUGUCUCCUGCCUCAAAAUCAGUAAAGGCCCUAUGCAAGAUUGCACAGAAGAAAAGAAAAGGGCAUCCAUGAUAUUGCUAUAUACGCAAUAACCUACAUAGCAAACAGCAACGGAGAAAACACGCAAGAUACAUAUAUUCAUAUGGAUAAUAGCAUCCAUGGAGACAAAUAAUUUUAGAAAGAGCGAGCUCUCUCCGAUUAAAAAUGGAAUUCCAAAACAACUAUCCACUUUUCAGUUUUCUCAAUAUAAGCACAUGACCUGUAUUCUUGAAUAUCAACUAAAUUAGCCUCUAGAAAGUAAAAACACAAUCCGAAUCAGAUCUACACCUCAAAUUUCAAAGGUGGGAACUAACACUAACCAAAACACAGCUUCCACCUGUAACUGACCCCUAAAUUUGAGAACUAUAAGGACAACGAAUCACAAAAAAAAAAAAAAAAAAAAAUUAUUCCUGAAUUGAACUUAUAUAUGUUACAAAUGCUAUGGAAGGAUUAAGCUACCUGCUAACUAACGCUGAGAGGUGGGCCAGGCACAAUGAUAAGACCAUGCAUACAACACUCAAGAAGAUUUAUUUGAAGUUGUUUCACUGGGCAGGAACCUAAUACGGCUACAGCUUUUUAGUCUGGCUAGAGCUUCCUGUGGCUUACCAAGCAAGAGAUCCACAUAAACUGCAGUCAAUGUAGCUUCUGGGCUGUUCGGUAAUAUGGACAAUGCCUGUGUAACCAAUAUAUUGGCUUUCUCAAAUUCACCCUGCAUUGCAGACAUUGCGGCAAAGUUUGCAUAAAUUGCUGCUCGUGCUUCCUCUGGCUUGAGGAAAAUGAUACUUUGAGUGUCCUGGAGAGAAGAAUUCUUGGCAGCAGUGGAUCCUCCAUUUACCUCUUCAAAUUCAACAGCCCUCUCCACUACCCUUUUCUCACAGUCCUCUUGGCUGAAUGGCAAUUCAACAUUGUUUCCUCCAGACAAAUAAUAUGAUAAGAGCUCAGCAGCUUCCUUUGGUCUGUUCAGCAAGCAAAGAGCCUCUGCCGCAUAAACAUGGCCUAGAAAGAUGUAAAUUCUGGAACAUUCUGGAAGUUCUAAAAGAGAUUUUGCAGCUGACAGAGCCUUCACAGGAUUGUCCAAUUCCAGCUCCACAUAUGCUAAAUUAGCAAGAACAGCUUGCUUGACCAAUUGAUUUUCUCUUCUACAGAGAUCUUCAUAAUAUGAGAGGGAGUUCUGAAAGAGUUCCUGACUAGCUCCUCCCUUCUGCUCUUUUGUGUCCCCAUUUGAAUUUACCUGACCUAAACCUACUGCUACUGAAAAUGCCUUUGAAUCAAUGCCGUGCAAGUUUUUACGAUUUGAAUUCUUUGAAAGCGGCACUUCACUUGUAUCGUUUUCUACAGAAGAAUUAGAGGGCAAACUAGACUUCAAACGAUUUGUGCUGUAGGAGUCCAGCAAGUGCAGAGCAUUCAAGAGGCACUGCCGAGCAAGGGAAAUAGAUAACUUCAGCCGCCCAUCUUCACUAGGACAACAAUCAUUCCCUUUUGAGGAGUCCACUUGUCCAUUACCUGGAAUUUGAUCUUUCACAACAAGUUGCCUCCAUUUUUCAAACCCAACAACGCAAACUCCAACCUCCAACUUCUCUGAAGGAACCCGACAUGAUUUGAUUAGGCCCUUUUCCAAAGCCAUCAGACAGCAUUCUGAGAGUCGGAGCCACAAGAGAGGCUGUCUGUAGAAGACCGAACUUGCCUUCUCGAAACAUCGAGCCGCAAGUAUUGGCUUUCCACAAGCCAAGUGCUGCACACCACAGUUAUAAAUUAUAAGGAAAGAAUUAUCCUUCGAGAAAGUGGUCAGCUUUAAUUGUUGCUCCUUUCGCAAGGACGAACAAUCAGUUAGUGCCUUUGAGAAGAAAAAUGAGGCCGUCUGAUAUUUCCCGAGCUGAUAAUAAAUGCAACCAAGAUUGUUGUUAAAAAUGAUUGAAAACUCUGUGUCUGUCCUAUUAUUACUUGAUGCCAUCAAUAGCUUUAUUGCCUUGCGGUGGUUACCACGAGCAUAUUCUAGUUGAGAUUUCAAAAGAAGAGCCAUGGAUGAAUCUCUUCCACGUGCGAUGUUCAUAGCCAGUUUGACUUCUCGUUUUGCAAGCUUCAGGUUCCUAGUACUAAGCAGAAACCGAACCUUGUAAAGUUGCAACUUAAGCUUUAAAUCAACAGUAGAAAACUUAUCAACCAAAGCCCGCGAAAGAUCAUUUGAAGAAGGGCCCAUUGACCUGGCUAAACUUUGUCCACCCAUAUCCAAAAUCAUGGCUUCAUAAUCAAGCGCAUCUUCAGACAAAGUUCUGGAUAGAUGAUUUUCAGGUGCAUUAACACUUGACCCUAAAUCCGAACUGGAUGGAUCAGCAGAUUCGCUAAUGGUGACAGGUGCAGACUUUGUGAUUAGAUUUGCAGAUUGUUGCUGUGCAGUAUUCCCAUUGUCACCUUGACUCGCAUUACCAACAGCAAAUGCUCUUUCCAGAUAAGUCAACACAUCCUAAACAAACAGAUCCAGCUCAGAACAGUGCACUUGUACAAUUAGAGAAGCUAUAAAAACGAGGGGAAAAAUGAAAUCUCUUGAGCCAUUAACUAAAAAAUUAAGACAGAAAGAGACUGCAACCAAGAGAUUGCAAGAAUAUAUGUCAACUGCCAAUAAAGUUUUAAAUCAUCAUUAAUAAAAACAAACAAAUCAAGUAAACCCAACUUUGUAUAACACUUUCAGCUUAAUCACAUUAAUAGAAAUGGAGCAGAAUUUACAAAAUGACUCUCGUUUUAGCUCCUGAUAUAUCCUUGUCUUUUUUACACUGAUAAGGCACCAAAAUCGGAAUAGAAGAAAACCUAGAAGAAUGAAUUGAUAACUCUCUUAAUAGAUGAUUUCCUUCAUCUUCUCUACAAGAUGAAUAAAACAGUUAAGCAAAUGACAAUGGAAUGGAGAUAUGCUCCUUGCAAAAUGAUCAAUAACAAACAGUAAAAGGGAAAUCCAAUUCUAAGAGAGGACCAACUCCUCUACCCAAACCACCCAAACCAAUUGCAAAUUUCCAGAUAUCCCAAGUAAAAAAAAAAAUCUAAUACACGCACAAGAUGUGAAAAUUGUGGUUGGCAACAAUGCAUUAAGCAACAAACCUUGCAAAUUGCAAUCAUUAAAACGUAAACCAGCUAAUAAAAUCAUGGCACAGAACUUACAGCUGAUUUAGAUGCAUCUUGGCAAGCAAGGCUAGCAUCAAGCAGAAGAAGACAAACAUGCAGGGCCGUUGUCUGCUAUAGGAAAGAGAACAUGGAGAAAGGGGCAAACUACAGCUGUCAACACCCUAUUGUGAUUAUUAAAAGAAAAUAACGUCAAAUAGUAUAUGACAAUGACAUACCUCAUCUAUGGGUUCAAUCUUUUGAAAUAGGGGUUCUAAAAUUGAUACCGUCUUUGCAUAUUCAUGAAGAUGGAACCAGAUGACGGCCUAGAGAGAUUGAAUUAACAAAAAUCACAUCAAGAAAUAUAUUAAAGUUACAAAUAUAAUCAAAACAACAAUUGAGAAAACUAAAUGAAAUUAAUAUAAGAAUAAAAAUGAACAUACAAUAUUCAGCCUAGCGAUAGAAGAGUCAAAUUCAUCUGUAUGCAACUGCAGUGCCGAGGUAUUGCUGCCUUUGGAUCCCAAAGUAACUUUAUUUCCAACACUGUUAACUGAUUCUCCUUGAUCCCCAGAAGUCAGGGUAUGCUCUUCACUUUUUCUCUGAAUAAACUCCCAAAGAAAAAAAGGAUAAGUACAAAAUUUUGAUUAAGCUUAAGCUGCAAAUUCAUCUGUAUGUUGAUUAAGCUUACAAAUAAAUGGAGAUGAGAGCUUAAGCUGCAAUUUAAUAGAUCCUAAACCACAUUAAGUUGAUUUCAAAAUGUUGUAUUUGAAUGUCAUUACCACUUGAUCCUUUCAUUGAGGGAAAACCAUGACAGAUACGAUAACAUACAAGUCUACAUACUUUAGCCAUAUAAACAAGACUUCCCUAUCUUCUGCACCAACUUUUACUUGAUAUACAUUCAAAGAGGAAAUUUUAUUCCACUCUCUUCCACUAGUAUUUCCUAACUUGUAAUAUUAUCUUUAAGGUGAUGUGCAUAUAUAUUUUCCUCCUUUGAGUAAACCAUAAGAGACCCGGAAGAAGGAAUUUGAACGAUAAAAUGACACCAACCACAGUAUACUAAGUACAACAGGUAGUGAAAAUGAAAUCUUAUAUGUAUUCUUAUUCAAAUGAAAGAAAUCAAAUUCACUGAUUAAAAUAAUGAGAAACUAUCAAUAACAAACAAGGCCUUCAUCAAUUUAAAACACUCAUUCCAUCAACUGAAGCUAUGUGCCAAUUUGGAAAUUAAUCGACCUCAAAAUAUUUUCAUGAACAGGUAUAUCAAAGGCUUGGAGGUUACCCAUAUUUUUAGUUUAAAAAAUCCCAAAUUAUGACCUAGGUCUGUCUUCAUUUCAAGUUUUCUGUCACGAUCUCAACUGGUGUCAGUGUCAUUUAAUUCCACUUUUCUAAUACAUAAUGGUAAAAAAAUGGUUUCCCCCAAUUACCAACCAUGAAAAACAAAAGUUGUUGCAAAAUUAAAAUUUCACAAAUUUUAAAAGAAUAUUAAUACAUAUAAAAAUAACAUACCUUUAUGUUAUUGAUUACUUCAAGUAACUUUUUGGGAUCAGAACAACCAUCUCGAAAGAAUUCUGCAAUAGCUAUAUUAUGAAGGACCUGAAAUAUUUGGGAACAUUAAGACUUAGAAAAAGGGAUUGUCGUAGACAACAUCAUAAAAUACACAUCAUGAAGAUAACCCAAAUCUUGAUGGGUUAUGUUAACUCAAGAACCCAUCAAACCAUUGUUCUCUUGUGCUCUUAACAAGCUUGAAUAUGAAUGAUAAAGAAUUUCAUUGUUCAAUAAACAUAAUUGAUGUUGCAAAUACCAUCCCCAAACGUAAUGACAGAUUGAAUAUUUAGAAUUUUUAGUCAUAGACUUGGAUGACAUACUUGAUAUAUAGAGAGCACAAACAUCCGAUCCAUAAAUUCUAAAACACAUUUAUGCUCGCAAACAACCAAACAAACAAAUGAUGAGUCCAUUUAAUUGCAUCCAAAACAGUCGCUUUUGCAGGUAUACUUACUCCAAGGUUCCUUCAAAUAUUUGAAUUUUAUUCACAUCAUAUGACAUACCUCAUUAUCCACCGUGAGAAUACCAAAAGACAUAAGAAAGGACUAUACACUCAGAGCCAAAAGGCCCAAAACAUUUCAAAGCCUAAAUAUGUGAAGUAUGUGCACAAUCUGAACCAAUCAGCAAGUGAAAAGUUACACUGCAACCAAGAUAUUAUUAUCACAUGACUUGCAUGGAGAUAGGUAAAUAGUGUGCGGGCAUAAUUUGUGCAAAUAUCAUUACUCGACUUACUACAUUUGACUUAAGAUACAAAUAUACCGAAAAUAAAGUUGCGUUAGAGUCGAGAACCGAAACUAACAACACGACAAAAUACCCCCAACUGGUAGAAAUUGUCCUUAUCAAGAAAAUGAGCUCAAAAUCCCUCUUGUGGCACGAUCAUCAGAUCAUUCAAACUUUCUAUACCGGGAUCCACAACAUCCAUUUCAUCUCCGAUCUAAUAAAUUUUUCCUUAUGCUACCUGUUAUUACUUGCAUCACAUCACACAGCGCAAAUGCAUUCCCGCAAGCAUCUGCUCAAAGCAGCUUGUAACAAACUUAUCCAGCUUGAAUUUGCACAUAAGUUCGUAUUAAAAGAUGAACUUAUGCGCAUUUAACAUCUACAGCCACAGAAAACUAAACUGCAAGUGCUUACUAGAAAAUGAAUUCAAGAAGCAUAAUGAAAUUCAAUAAAAUAAUUAAACCAAUCACUUGAAGAAUAUCAAUUAGAGUAAAAAAGAAGAAAGAAAAAAAAAACUAGCACAAAGCGAAUAAUCGACUAGAAAAAAACAACAAGCAUCGAGCAUUUCUUGCAGAUAAGAAAAACAACAUCGGAGCGAUCAGUAUCGAAAGCUACAAAGCAAAAAGGUGAAAUGAAUUUCAUUAC